GACGAACGCUGGCGGCGUGCUUAACACAUGCAAGUCGAACGAUGAAGCUAGAGCUUGCUCUGGUGAAUUAGCGGCGAACGGGAGAGUAACACGUGAGUAACCUGCCCCGAACUCUGGGAUAACUGCUGGACGCGGUAGCUAAUACUGGAUACGAACUACGAAGGCAUCUUCUGUAGGUGGAAAGAAGUGUCGGUUCGGGAUGGAGUCGCGGCCUAUCAGCUUGUUGGUGAGGUAAAGGAGCACCAAGGCGACGACGGGUAGCCGGCUUGAGAGGGUGACCGGCCACACUGGGACUGAGACACGGCCCAGACUCCUACGUGAGGCAGCAGGGGGGAAUAUUGCACAAUGGGCGCAAGCCUGAUGCAGCAACGCCGCGUGAGGGAUGGCGGCCUUCGGGUUGGAAACCUCUUUUAGUAGGGAAGAAGCGAAAGUGACGGUACCUGCAGAAAAAGCACCGGCUAACUACGUGCCAGCAGCCGCCGCGG
rnacentral:rRNA from 1 species